GUAGGGAAUCUUCCACAAUGGAACGAAAGUCUGAUGGAGCAACGCCGCGUGAGUGAAGAAGGGUUUCGGCUCGUAAAGCUCUGUUGGUAGUGAAGAAAGAUAGAGGUAGUAACUGGCCUUUAUUUGACGGUAAUUACUUAGAAAGUCACGGCUAACUACGUGCC
rnacentral:rRNA from 1 species